UACGUAGGGGGCAAGCGUUGUCCGGAAUCAUUGGGCGUAAAGCGCGUGUAGGCGGCCCGGUAAGUCCGCUGUGAAAGUCGGGGGCUCAACCCUCGGAUGCCGGUGGAUACUGUCGGGCUUGAGUACGGAAGAGGCGAGUGGAAUUCCUGGUGUAGCGGUGAAAUGCGCAGAUAUCAGGAGGAACACCGAUUGCGAAGGCGGCUCUCUGGGACGGUACUGACGCUGAGACGCGAAAGCGUGGGGAGCGAACAGG
rnacentral:rRNA from 1 species